rnacentral:piRNA from 1 species
UGAGACACGAGGCACCUCUGAAUGAUCCCCC